ACCCCACUGGGUGGAUUUCGCUACCCCACUCCCCACACCAAGCAGGCCCAGAUCGUUUGUCCUUCCCUAGCUGGACACUCCUGCCGGGACCGGCAACCAGUGAGAGAGAGAGAGAGAGUGCCCCUUCCUCCCCUCUGGCUCCGUGGGGAGCCGGAGUCCUCGUUGCUUUCAUCUUCCCGCCUGCCCUCCUCUUCUCGUCCUGCUUGGCUUCCCUCUGUCAGGCUCUCCUCCAAAGAGCUGAAAGCAGGGAGAGGAAAGCGUGUGUAUUUCCUACUAGUCACCGAGGGGAGAGCCCUGAAGGACAGAGACCCAGUACCACCUCCUCCAAUUUCUCUUCCCAGCUUUCCUUCACUUGGAAAACAGGACACGGACAGAACAUCUAACUUCAGACAGCCAUCAGGAG
rnacentral:lncRNA from 1 species